AAUUCCAACAACUUCUUCCUCCUUGCAAUUAACUUCUUUAACAAUUCAAGUGCAACAUCCUACCAAUUUUUUUGUCUUGAGUUUGUUGCCACAGUCUGGUGUCAGGACAAGUUGGAUUAUGGUUUAAUGUCCUCCAAUUCUGAAAUGAAAAAUGGAAAGACAGGGGGACAGUGGUGGGACCAGGACCAGAUCCUCGGCGGCUUCAGAGAAAGACAACAAAAAACAAAAAAUGAGUGUCACGAAAAGCAUCAUAAAUGAACCAUUUAAAGUUUCCGAAGCAAAGCCUCUUCGGUCACAUAACACACCAGACACCUUCCGCCAGCUGUUCCAACCUGCUUGGACCCGUUUCUUCACCAUGCAAUGAAGGCACAAAAGAAAGAAAAACAAGAGAGGCCAGUCCAUUAGGCAUGUGACUGGACGUGUUCCCCAAGCCAUGAACUGCUGGCCAAAUACUCAAAUGGGUGAAACGCUCUUUGGGGCUUUUGAGAUAAAAACUGAGCCGACGGGUAGCAGUCAUGAAGACACAAAUGAAGACUUUCCCAGCUACUGAGGAAAUCAGGGACAACAUGCAAACUCCACACAGGCGGGGGCAGGAUCAAGCCCGGGUCCUCCGAACUGUGAAGCCAACGCUUUACGAGCUGAUCCACCGUGCUGCCUCCUGAAAUUCUCAUAGGAAA